rnacentral:misc_RNA from 1 species
AACGCACAUUGCGCCCUUUGGUAUUCCGAAGGGCAUGCCUGUUCGAGCGUCAUUAUCACCCCUCAAACCUCCGUGUUUGGAGUUGGGCCUGCGUCCCGCGUCACCCCUGCGUGGACUGGCCCCAAAGAUAAUGACGGCGGCCGUGAGGAUCCCCGGUGCAACGAGCUUCUCUCUCAGGGAGCACGCGUCGAGUGGGAACCACGGCUCUGCCGGUCGUCACCUUUUUACUUUUCAAGGUUGACCUCGGAUCAGGUAGGAAUACCCGCUGAACUUAA